GGGAUAUACCGGUUCUCGUUAGAUCACCGAAGUCAAGCAUCAUUGGGCGCGGUCAGUACUUGGGUGGGUGACCACCUGGGAACACCGCGUGCCGUU
rnacentral:rRNA from 1 species